UACGUAGGGGGCAAGCGUUGUCCGGAUUUAUUGGGCGUAAAGAGCGUGUAGGCGGCCAGGUAGGUCAGCUGUGAAAACUCGAGGCUCAACCUCGAGACGUCGGUUGAAACCAUCUGGCUAGAGUCCGGAAGAGGAGAGUGGAAUUCCUGGUGUAGCGGUGAAAUGCGCAGAUAUCAGGAAGAACACCUAUGGCGAAGGCAGCUCUCUGGGACGGUACUGACGCUGAGACGCGAAAGCGUGGGGAGCGAACAGG
rnacentral:rRNA from 1 species